GAGGAACUCAAAGAGAAGCAGAGGCCGGAAGGUUCGCCAGAGGGACGCUGGAAGGAACAGCUGUCCCGACUGAGUGACAGAGAGAGGUGCAUUUAUUGAAGCAAAAAUCAGCACCCUGCAGUCUCGGCGCAUCCUGCAAGCAGAAGGAAGCACUUUCUACGGCUCAGUAGUUCAAGAACUGGAGACUCUCUUUGUCUUGGAAGAGCAGUUGGUACCCACUCAGUGGGGGCAGCAUCUUCUUUGGGCUUGACUUUGCCUGGUUCACCUUCAGGGCUUCAACGCUGUGCAGGUGUUUGUCCCAGUGUGGACUCUUGCCUCAGCAAUCUGACCAUCAGCCGACUCUUUGACACAGGAGUCACUCGAGAGCCCUCAAACAUCACCCAGAAGGAACCUUGGCCUCCCGUGUUUGCAGAUCAGGAGAGCACAGCGCAGAAAUGUCUAGAAACGUUCUCAGAUUCGCACGGGACUUUUCAGUUGAGGUCGAGAUUCUGCUCCAGGCUUCCUGAUGUCAGAGUUCCACCAGCCAGAUGCUCUCCCAGUGUCGGCUGGGCUCACACACCGAGUUUGAAGGACUGGAGGUCUCUUGGGAAAUGUGUCUUUAACAACGCCAGAAUCCUUGGAUGUGGGCACAGGGGCAGGAGGAUGUUGGUGAGAACAUCUGUUAAGAGCCAGCUCUUCCCUUCGUCCUCUCUUGUUGACAAGGGAGGUGGUAUUCAGGACUUUGAUAAAGACAUUGGCAGAGGAGAAACAGCGAUCCCUCUGCAAGAUGUCCUGGUGGGUGAGUCGAUGAUGAUGAUGAUGAUGAUGAUAAAAAAUUAAAAUGUAUUGGGAGACAGUUGCAAUAGCAAUUCAAUACCGCACCGGGGCUAGAGAAAUAGCUCAGUGGUGAAGAACUCUUGCUGCUCUUGCAACAGACCCAGGUUCUAUUCUAGCACCCACAGGGCAGCUCACAACCGUCUGAAACUUCAGCUCCGGGGGGGCUUCUAUUCCCUCUUUUGGCUUCACCAAGUGCACAUGUGGUCCACAUCCACGCAGGCGAAACACCCACCCGUGUAAAGAUAAUACUGGGUGGUCUCCCCGUGAACCCCAGGCUACUCACGUUGGUCACCACGGCCAGGAUGGCUAUUCCUUGCAUGAUGGGCUGCCACGCGCCGAUAUCCUGGGCUUUCUCUGGCACCAUGCGUCGAAACUGUGUUGUAAGCUUCCACGCAUCCACUCUUAUCUCCAGUAUAUUGUUCACCAGGGCCAGCAGGGGAGCCAGUGGGAAAGAGGCCACAAAUAAGGUGACGAACCCAAACUGAAUAACUGUCAACGGAAUGGACACACAUCAUGGUGGGGAGGACAGAUGGGAGGACGAUGUAUUUUCCUCUAUGCUUGUAAAGAAAUUUAAAAGGCCAACAAAGGACCCACCCCAGUAAGGAGACACAGCCACGGGCAGUCACAACACAGUGCUCAGGGCAGGACAAAUACAAAACAUGAGUAUGAAAUCCAAAGAAAGGUGACUAAAUACAGCUCCUUUCCCACACACGUGGGAUUCGCUCAGAAGAAACGGCGCAUUGGAAACUCUGAGUCAAGCACGGUUACUUGGUGGUCAUACGCUGGAGGCAACCUAAGCGUAUUGUUCACUCUGCCUCUUAAGAUGCUAUGAGAAGCAGACCCAGGGUUUGGGAUUUAAAAACGAACAGAGUGCAAGUAUCUAGUAAGCAAAGAGGAAACGAAAUGCGUGGAUAUGAAGCCGAUACUCGGAGGAAUGUUGGAAGCCUGCUAGCAACAAGCAAACUUCAUCGCCUCUGUGUCACACGCACGCACUCGGGAGAGCCCUAACCCUUGUCAGUCUGUGUGGUCCCAAGAUCAAGAUUCUAGUGGUAACUCAGCCUUUUCUCUUCAUCAGAAAUGUAUGUGACCUUGGUAUAAAUAAAGGAUAAACUCCGCCGUGGAGGGGAUGAAGAAUGGGGUAAGACCAAAGAUCUAGCCGAGAAACGUCUCCCAGGUCCUUCCAGCCUUACUAGCAGAGCCAUGGAAGACACCUACACAGAUGUGAUGUGACCAGAUGCCUCACGCUCCCACACUGCUUGGGCUUCUGCACCAUGGUGGACUGUAGUACCUUGAACUGUGAGCUAGAAUGAACCUCUUCCCUCCCUUAAAUGGCUUUUCUCAGGGUAUUUUAACCCAACAACAGGAAAUAAAGGAAAAUAGCCUUUAUCCUCAUGAUUUUUGAAAGUUUGCUUUGGGGAUGGGUGCAAUUAACAAGGCAAAUGUGGAGACUCAGUGCAGGAGAGACAUGGAGGACUCAUGACCUUGCUUUCGUGCCCUUGGCUAUGGCACCUACCAACGAGGAAGAUGCCGUCACCACAUUCUCAAGAGGCCCGUGUCUAUGACUGGUAGGCCCAAGGUACAGAAACAGUAUCUUCAGCUUCUAGACUUUACUAUCAGUAGCUGUUCCUCUCCUCAAGUUCUCUGAGGUGGGGUCUAAGAUUUUGCCAGGCAACUCUGGCUAAUACCCAAUCUGAAAUCAUGGGGGAAAUUCACUUUAAAAGAAAUUCACUAGCAGCAGUAACAAGAACAAAAACCAUAGGGCAUCCAGCCUCAGUGGGCAGAGAGUGGGUGGGGCAAUGCAAAUGUAGGAUUGACAAGCGGUUGUAUACUUGCACCAAAGGUAGCAAGUACCUGGGAGUACUAAGUUCCAAGCACUCAUGCUAAGGGCUUAGUAGUUGCCUCCAACAGGAGUGGAGGGGGGGAGAGGCAUUCAUGCACGCACAGGAUUAUGGGAGUCAAGGCUGCCUAGCCCUACAAGGGGAGCUAAGUGGAUCUGUGGAGGUUCCUCAAGAGCUGUGAGAAGGAAUGAGAGGCAAGGAACUGUGGUAGCCGGUGGAAGUCACAGGGCUAACUGCUGGGACGUGGUGGUGGAAGAGGGAAGGCCACACCCAUGGGGAGGUGCCUAAAGGAAGGUACACAGUGGUGUUGCUGGCAAAUGUGGAAGAACACCGUGAGGGUCCCGUGGGAGUGGCACCACUCCCAAAGACAGUAUUUAUUUUUAGAGGAGUAAGACAAGAAUUCAAAGGGUACUGAAGAAUGUAUCUUCCACAACUUAACACUAAACACAGAUUUCACUGUGUUACUGACUACCUAGUAACAGACUGCCUGUACUCAGAAACCUGGGAAGAUCGCUGGGAUGGCUGUAAGGCAUGGGGACAAAGCACUGUAAGAAAUCUCGUCUGUUAUGACAGAAUAUAUAUCAUACAUAUACUGUAGGGUAGGAUGAGACGAGAUUAAUUAGUCCAUAACUAUCUAAUAGGUCUAUGAAACUCUAAAAGUCUGAUUUUUUUUUCUCCCCCAAGGCAUGGGAUGUUGCUUUCCCCUGAAUGGCAUACAGUUAGCUAAUUAAUUUGGGAAAAAACAACUUCCUGUAAAGUCUUCUUUGCUGGGGAGAGGCUCAGAUAGAUAGCAUUCUAUGCCAACGUGCUAUUGUUAAUGGUGACAGUGGCCCUGGCAAGAGACAGUUAGUGAGAACAUGGACUGACUUCAACUUGGUCAGCACUGAUGCUGCACCCUUAGUAAAACCCAAUCCUGACAAAAAGCAAAAACGAACUUCAAAUCUGACCCCAGGCUGCUGACAGACACAAAAUGGACUGUUUACUCACCCAUACAGACAGAUAUUCUUGUGCACUCUGCAUAUUUUUGAAAAGGGACUUUAUACAUAGAAUGUGAUUUAAUAAUCCACCUCCCCACCCCCCAAUCUGCAGGAAACACUGUCCUGGAAAAGACACCAACUCCUCUGCGUAAACAUAAGGCCUGUCAGUUUUAUGCCUGUUUUUCUGUUCUCGCUACCUUAAAAAAAAAGUGAUUCAUUGUAAAGUUUCAGAGAAAGGACAGAGAAUAUGUAAACAGUUAGCCAUCUUUUAGAUUUAGCAGGUCAUUCACAAUAGAAAGGUUAGCGUUGCCAAAGGGAGUCUGUUCUGAGCUGCAGCUAUUUAAAGGCAACAGAGCUUAAAGCCACACCCAUCAGUCUGGGCAAGUAAUCCACAAAUGGACAAGACAUUCAGGAAGGUAGGGCGGGACCUGUGCCAAGUCCUAACUCCAGGCCGUACACUGGCUCUCUUUGCUCAUGCACCACAUACAAAGCCUGCACAGAAGAAACCUGAGGCCAUCUCGGGCAGGACCAAGGUAUGAAAGGGCAACAGAGUUCCUCCUGCCAUGAGGGAGCACGUCCUCCCGGGCUUGCUCCGUGAUUCUGUUCCUGCCCGUCGCAGUGUCUGCAUGGACUCGGGCUCAAGCUGCCUGAAUCAUGACAGUGAUAGGGUUCCUUCACAGACAACACAGCCAGAACACUCUGAGAACUCACAGCAAAGUGAUACGUCAAGGAAAGUUCCAUCUCAUUGCAGAGUAAUAAAUCCUUAGCUUUGAACAACAUAGACAUUAACAAAACCACACACACAGCCGUUGUAUCUGAAAGCUUUGAUUUUUCUCUACUAUAUAAUUUUAUCCUGGUAGAGAAAAACACACAGCUCUUCACAUCAAUGCACUAAAUAAUUCUGUGGCUCAACAACAGAUGCUUUUCAACUCCAACACGCACCCCGACAUACUUUACAGAAAACUUACUCAU